rnacentral:rRNA from 1 species
ACCAGACUCCUACGGGAGGCAGCAGUGAGGAAUAUUGGUCAAUGGGCUUACGCCUGAACCAGCCAAGUCGCGUGAGGGAUGAAGGUACAGAGUAUCGUAAACCUCUUUUGUCAGGGAACAAAGGCGGGGACGUGUCCCCGGAUGAGUGUACCUGAAGAAAAAGCAUCGGCUAACUCCGUGCCAGCAGCCGCGGUAAUACGGAGGAUGCGAGCGUUAUCCGGAUUUAUUGGGUUUAAAGGGUGCGCAGGCGGUCUGUUAAGUCAGCGGUAAAAGCCCGGGGCUCAACCCCGUACUGCCGUUGAAACUGCAUCCCUUGAGUGCGCGAGAAGUAUGCGGAAUGCGUGGUGUAGCGGUGAAAUGCAUAGAUAUCACGCAGAACUCCGAUUGCGAAGGCAGCAUACCGGCGCGCAACUGACGCUCAUGCACGAAAGCGUGGGUAUCGAACAGGAUUAGAUACCCCAGUA